rnacentral:rRNA from 1 species
AACGCAGGUGGCUUGGUAAGUCAGGGGUGAAAGUCCGCAGCUUAACUGCGGCACUGCCUCUGAUACUGCUUUUCUUGAGUGCAUGAGGGGGAAGCGGAAUUCCGAGUGUAGAGGUGAAAUUCGUAGAUAUUCGGAGGAACACCGGUGGCGAAGGCGGCUUCCUGGCAUGCAACUGACACUCAUGUUCGAAAGCGUGGGGAGCAAACAGGAUUAGAUACCCUGGUAGUCCACGCCCUAAACGAUGGGCACUAGGUGUGGGAGGUAUCGACCCCUUCCGUGCCGCAGCUAACGCAUUAAGUGCCCCGCCUGGGGAGUACGGCCGCAAAGGUUGAA